rnacentral:rRNA from 1 species
GACUUCGGUCUCUGAGUAGAGCGGCGCACGGGUGAGUAACGCGUGGAUGAUCUACCCUUGAGUUCGGGAUAACGGUGCGAAAGCGCCGCUAAUACCGUAUAACAAUCCAUUUCAUCGUGGGUUCAAAGCAGGCCUCUUCAUGAAAGCUUGCGCUUGGGGAUGAGUCCGCGUCCCAUUAGCUUGUUGGCGGGGUAACGGCCCACCAAGGCUACGAUGGGUAGCUGGUCUGAGAGGAUGAUCAGCCACACUGGAACUGAAACACGGUCCAGACUCCUACGGGAGGCAGCAGUGGGGAAUAUUGCGCAAUGGGGGAAACCCUGACGCAGCGACGUCGUGUGAGGGAAGAAGGCCUUCGGGUCGUAAACCUCUGUCAGAAGGGAAGAACAUCCGGGAGUCGAACAGCCUCCCGGCCUGACGGUACCUUCAGAGGAAGCGCCGGCUAACUCCGUGCCAGCAGCCGCGGUAAUACGGAGGGCGCAAGCGUUAAUCGGAAUCACUGGGCGUAAAGCGUGCGUAGGCUGUUUGAUAAGUCAGGCGUGAAAUCCCUCGGCUCAACCGGGGAACUGCGUUUGAUACUGUUGAACUAGAGUCCUGGAGAGGGUGGCGGAAUUCCUGGUGUAGGAGUGAAAUCCGUAGAUAUCAGGAGGAACACCGGUGGCGAAGGCGGCCACCUGGACAGGUACUGACGCU